rnacentral:rRNA from 1 species
AGUGUUCAAAGCAGGCUUAAGGCCGUUGAAUACAUUAGCAUGGAAUAAUAAGAUAGGACCUUGGUCUAUUUUGUUGGUUUGCAUUCCAAGGUAAUGAUUAAUAGGGAUAGUUGGGGGUAUUCGUAUUCAAAUUGUCAGAAGGUGAAAUUCUUGGAUUUAUGGAAGACGAACUACUGCGAAAGCUUUUACCAAGGAUGUUUUCAUUAAUCAAGAACGAAAGUUAGGGGAUCGAAGAUGAUUAGAUACCAUCGUAGUCUUAACCAUAAACUAUGCCGACUAGGGAUUUGGUGGACGUUUGUUACGACUCCAUCAGCACCUUAUGAGAAAAUCAAAGUCUUUGGGGUUCCGGGGGGGAGUAUGGGUCGCAAGGCUGAAACUUAAAGAAAUUGACGGAAGGCCACCACCAGGAGUGGAGCCUGCGGCUUUAAUUUGACUCAACACGGGGAAACUUACCAGGUCCAGACAUAGGUAGGAUUGACAGAUUGAUAGCUCUUUCUUGAUUCUAUGGGGUGGUGGUGCAUGGGCCGUUCUUAGUUGGUGGAGUGAUUUGUCUGGUUAAUUCCGUUAACGAAUGAGACCCCCGCCUGCUAAUUAGUUGCACCAAUGCUCGCAUUGGCCGCAGCUUCUUAGAGGGACUUUCGGUGUUUAACCGAAGGAAAGUUGGGGGCAAUAACAGGUCUGUGAUGCCUUUAGAUGUCCUGGGCCGCACGCGCGCUACACUGACACACGCAGCGAGUAUUCACCUUGUCCGAAAGGUCCGGGUAAUCUUGUAAAUGUGUGUCGUGAUAGGGAUAGAUUAUUGCAAUUAUUAAUCUUGAACGAGGAAUUCCUAGUAAAUGCGGGUCAUCAGCUCGCGUUGAUUACGUCCCUGCCCUUUGUACACACCGCCCGUCGCACGCUACCGAUUGAAUGAUUCGGUGAAACUUUCGGACUAUUCCUGGCGUCAUUCGUGGCACCUUGAGUGGGAAGUUAUUUAAACCUCAUCAUUAGAGGAAGGGGA